ACAUUCUUUCAGAUGCCAGAGGAUGCUAUAGAAAAAUGCGUGCCCUCUUGUAAUAUUUUGUUCAAGUUCUGAUCAGAAGGAUGAAUGAUGGAGCCCAAGAAGCCAGGUCUCAUUGUGUUGCUCAGGCUGGAGUCCAGUGGCACGAUCUCGGCUCAGUGCAACCUCCGCCUCCUGGGUUCAAGCAGUUCUCCUACAUCAGCGUCCCGAGUAGCUGGGAUUACAGGCACCCACUACCACGCCUGGGGCUAAUGUUGGUCAGGCUGGCUCGAACUCCUGACCUCAAGAGAUCCACCUGCUUUCGCCUCCCAAAGUGCUGGGAUUACAGGCAUAAGCUGCCAUACCCAGCCUCCAAAUACUUUUUUUUAAAAUCAAAAUAAUGAUUUCAAUGACUGAGAUCUCUUAUGUAUUUCAACGAAAUCAUGUUUCAUAAAGAUUUAGUCUUCUGAAA
rnacentral:lncRNA from 1 species